rnacentral:rRNA from 1 species
AUUCAACGCUGGCGGCAGGCCUAACACAUGCAAGUCGAACGGUAACAGGAAGAAGCUUGCUUCUUUGCUGACGAGUGGCGGACGGGUGAGUAAUGUCUGGGAAACUGCCUGAUGGAGGGGGAUAACUACUGGAAACGGUAGCUAAUACCGCAUAACGUCGCAAGACCAAAGAGGGGGACCUUCGGGCCUCUUGCCAUCGGAUGUGCCCAGAUGGGAUUAGCUAGUAGGUGGGGUAACGGCUCACCUAGGCGACGAUCCCUAGCUGGUCUGAGAGGAUGACCAGCCACACUGGAACUGAGACACGGUCCAGACUCCUACGGGAGGCAGCAGUGGGGAAUAUUGCACAAUGGGCGCAAGCCUGAUGCAGCCAUGCCGCGUGUAUGAAGAAGGCCUUCGGGUUGUAAAGUACUUUCAGCGGGGAGGAAGGGAGUAAAGUUAAUACCUUUGCUAAUUGACGUUACCCGCAGAAGAAGCACCGGCUAACUCCGUG